GGCCCAGUGGCUCAGUUGGUUAGAGCGCCGCCCUGUCACGGCGGAGGUCGUCGGUUCGAGUCCGAUCUGGGUCG
rfam:Johnsonella ignava ATCC 51276 genomic scaffold supercont1.16, whole genome shotgun sequence.